CUUGGCACCCAUCAUCUCCUUCUGGACCCAUCCUUGCAGGCACCAUCCCCUGCCCCUCGAGGACCCUUCUUGGCACCCACCAUCUCCAGCACCCCCCAGCCCCCUCAUCCACCACCCCCUUCCCAUUCCUUCCCCAUGGCUGCCCCCCAAGUGCCUUCAGCUCCACCUGGGGCAAAGCAGAACCAAGGAGGGCACCCAAUAGGUGGUGGUAGUCACACCCAAUGGGUCUGAGGAGCACCCAGUGGGUUUAAGGAGCACCAAAUGGAUGGUGGUUGGCACCCAGUGGAGGUUGAAGAGCACCCAAUGAGUUGAGGAGCACCCAAUGGGUUGAGGAGCACCCAAUGAGUUGAGGAGCACCCAAUGGGUUGAGGAGCACCCAGUGAGUUGAAGAGCACCCAGUGGGUCUGAGGAACACCCAAUGAGUUUGAGGAGCACCCAGUGAGUUUGAGGAGCACCCAAUGAGUUGAGGAGCACCCAAUGGGUUGAGGAGCACCCAGUGAGUUGAGGAGCACCCAGUGGGUUUGAGCAGCACCCAGUGAGUUUGAGCUGCACCCAAUGAGUUGUGGAGCACGCAGUGGGUUUGAGGAGCACCCAAUGAGUUGAGGAGCACCCAAUGGGUUUGAGCAGCACCCAACAAGUUUGAGGAGCACCCAACCAGUUUGAGGAGCACCCAAUGAGUUGAGGAGCACCCAAUGAGUUGAGGAGCACCCAAUGAGUUGAGGAGCACCCAGUGGGUCUGAGGAGCACCCAAUGAUUGAGGAGCACCCAAUGAGUUGAGGAGCACCCAAUGGGUUGAGGAGCACCCAAUGAGUUGAGGAGCACCCAAUGAGUUUGAGCAGCACCCAGUGGCUUCACUCAGCACCCAACGGGUGCCAAGGGGCCACCCAUCAGCAUCUAGAGCCCUGUUAAGAGACCCAUUCCUCACCCACUUCACUUUGAAGCCAGAUGCUGGUC